UAUGCUAAAUUCAAUCCGCAGGUUAAAGCUUCCCCAAGGCGUGCUUUGUUCGACGCUGGACGUGUAAUUUAUAGUGACGUCUUGCUACGUAAACUUGAAGAAAUUAUCCAAUCCCUGAAGAAAAUUGAAUCUCUUGUGGUAGGGUCGCGUUCGUAA